rnacentral:rRNA from 1 species
AUUGAACGCUGGCGGCAUGCCUUACACAUGCAAGUCGAACGGUAACAGGUCUUUGGAUGCUGACGAGUGGCGAACGGGUGAGUAAUACAUCGGAACGUGCCCGAUCGUGGGGGAUAACGGAGCGAAAGCUUUGCUAAUACCGCAUACGAUCUACGGAUGAAAGCAGGGGACCGCAAGGCCUUGCGCGGACGGAGCGGCCGAUGGGCAGAUUAGGUAGUUGGUGGGAUAAAAGCUUACCAAGCCGACGAUCUGUAGCUGGUCUGAGAGGACGACCAGCCACACUGGGACUGAGACACGGCCCAGACUCCUACGGGAGGCAGCAGUGGGGAAUUUUGGACAAUGGGCGUAAGCCUGAGUCCAGCCAUGCCGCGUGCAGGAUGAAGGCCUUCGGGUUGUAAACUGCUUUUGUUACGGACGAAAGACGUACUUUCUAAUAAAGAGGGUCCAUGACGGUACCGUAAGAAUAAGCACCGGCUAACUACGUGCCAGCAGCCGCGGUAAACCUU